GAUCCUGGCUCAGGAUGAACGCUAGCUACAGGCUUAACACAUGCAAGUCGAGGGAAACGACAUCGAAAGCUUGCUUUUGAUGGGCGUCGACCGGCGCACGGGUGAGUAACGCGUAUCCAACCUGCCCACCACUUGGGGAUAACCUUGCGAAAGUAAGACUAAUACCCAAUGACGUCUCUAGAAGACAUCUGAAAGAGAUUUAAAGAUUUAUCGGUGAUGGAUGGGGAUGCGUCUGAUUAGCUUGUUGCGGGGUAACGGCCCACCAAGGCGACGAUCAGUAGGGGUUCUGAGAGGAAGGUCCCCCACAUUGGAACUGAGACACGGUCCAAACUCCUACGGGAGGCAGCAGUGAGGAAUAUUGGUCAAUGGGCGAGAGCCUGAACCAGCCAAGUAGCGUGCAGGAUGACGGCCCUAUGGGUUGUAAACUGCUUUUAUAAGGGAAUAAAGUUAGUCUCGUGAGACUUUUUGCAUGUACCUUAUGAAUAAGGACCGGCUAAUUCCGUG
rnacentral:rRNA from 1 species